rnacentral:precursor_RNA from 9 species
CCGUGACCCGUUGAAUUGUGAACUCUGGCGUGCUUAAUCGUUCAGUGAUUCAUAGUGAAUAGCUUGUAUCACAGUUCGAUUUGGCCCGCUAGUGUCACUGCUGCGUCCUCACGUAAUU